rnacentral:tRNA from 1 species
GAGGGUAUAGCUCAGUGGUAGAGCUGCUGUUUAACAUGCACAAAGUCCUGGGUUCAAUCCCCAAUACUUCCA